AGCAGCCGCGGUAAUUCCAGCUCCAAUAGCGUAUAUUAAAGUUGUUGCAGUUAAAAGCUCGUAGUUGAAUUUCGGGAUCAAUAUGUUGGUCGUGCCUUGGUACGUACUGGCAUUAUCGAUUCCUACCUUCUGAAGAACCUCGAUGUCAUUAAUUUGGUGUCUUGGGGAAUCAGGACUGUUACUUUGAAAAAAUUAGAGUGUUUAAAGCAGGCUCGCGCUUGAAUACAUUAGCAUGGAAUAAUGAAAUAGGACGUUUGAUUCUAUUUUGUUGGUUUCUAGGAUCGACGUAAUGAUUAAUAGGGAUAGUUGGGGGCAUUAGUAUUCAAUUGUCAGAGGUGAAAUUCUUGGAUUUAUUGAAGACUAACUACUGCGAAAGCAUUUGCCAAGGAUGUUUUCAUUAAUCAAGAACGAAAGUUAGGGGAUCGAAGACGAUCAGAUACCGUCGUAGUCUUAACCAUAAACUAUGCCGACUAGGGAUCGGAUGAUGUUAAUUUUUUCAAUGACUCAUUCGGCGCCUUAC
rnacentral:misc_RNA from 1 species